rnacentral:rRNA from 1 species
GGGGUGAAAAUUAAUAACUAAAAUUAAUAAAAAAAUUUUUAAAUAUAUUUAAUGGGGGUUAAAGUAUAUUUAUAGAAAAAAUUAGUUAAUUUAUAGGGAACUAGUAUUGUGAAAUAAAUUUGAAAUAUGUUAAAUAAAAAAUUAUAUGAAAGUAGUUUUAAUUUAUCGUAUCUUGUGUAUCAGAGUUUAUUAAAAAAUAUUUUUAGUUUAAAAAUUCUCGAAUUUAAAAGAGAUAAUUAAUUAAGAAAGUUAUUGUAGCAAAAAUAUUUUUAAUAAUUAAUUGGAAAUGAAAUGUUAAUCGUUUUUAAAUAUAUCUAGUUUUUUUAGAAAAAAAUUUAAUUUUAUAUAAUUUUUAAUAUUAAUUAAUUGAUUAAUUAAUAUUAAAAAUUAUAUUAUAUUUUAGGGGAUAAGCUUUAAAAUAAAUUUAUAUAAUUAUUUAGAUUUGUUAUUUGAAUAUUUUAUAAUUUAUAUUGUUAAUAAAUUUUAAUUUAUUAUAAAUAAUUUCAUUAAAAAUAAAAUUUAAAAUAAAUAAUUUAUUUUUUUUUAUAAAAAAAUAUUUUUUAAUAAAAAAAAAAUAGUUAUAAUGAUAAAAUUAGUAUAUAAUUAUUUAAAUUAAUAUAAUUUUUAAAAUAAAAUUAAUUAAAAGGAAUUCGGCAAAAAUUCAUAUUCACUUGUUUAUCAAAAACAUGUCUUUUUGAAUUUAAUAUAAAGUCUAAUCUGCCCACUGAUUUUAUAUUAAAGGGCUGCAGUAUUUUGACUGUACAAAGGUAGCAUAAUCAAUAGUCAUUUAAUUGAUGACUUGUAUGAAAGAUUGGAUGAAAUAUGAACUGUCUCUUAAUUAAACUAUAGAAUUUAAUUUUUUAAUUAAAAAGUUAAAAUAUUUUAAAAAGACGAGAAGACCCUAUAGAGUUUUAUAAAUAAAUUAUUUGAAAUUAUUUAUAAAUUUUAAUAAUUAAUAUUAAUUUAUUUAUUUUGUUGGGGUGACAGAAAAAUAUGAAAAACUUUUUUUAUAAUAAACCAUAAAUAAGUGAUUUUUUGAUCCAAUUUUAUUGAUUAUAAGAAAAAAUUACCUUAGGGAUAACAGCGUAAUUUCUUUUUUUAGUUCAUAUAAAAAAAGGAGUUUGCGACCUCGAUGUUGGAUUAAGAUAAAAUUUAAAUGUAGAAGUUUAAAAUUUUUGAUCUGUUCGAUCAUUAAAAUCUUACAUGAUCUGAGUUCAAACCGGUGUAAGCCAGGUUGGUUUCUAUCUUUUAAAAAUUAUAAUAUUUUAGUACGAAAGGAUCAAAUAUUAGAAUUAAAUUUAUAAUUUUGAAUAUUAAUAAAUUAUUUAAUUUAAAUAUAAAAAAUUAAGUUAUAUUAUAUAUAUAUAUAUAUA